rnacentral:misc_RNA from 1 species
AAGUCGUAACAAGGUUUCCGUAGGUGAACCUGCGGAAGGAUCAUUAAAAACUUUUAUCCGGGAAUUCGUUUCGUUUUUCCGGAUUAUUUGUAUUCAAAUCCCACUCUUUAUAAAUAUAUCAAUUAUAUAAAACAAAAAAUAAAAAAAGAAAACUUUCAACAACGGAUCUCUUGGCUCUC